rnacentral:rRNA from 1 species
GACGAACGCUGGCGGCGCGCUUAACACAUGCAAGUCGAGCGAGAACCCAGGCUUCGGCCUGGGGGACAGCGGCGAACGGGUGAGUAACACGUGAGUAAUCUGCCCUCGGCACCGGGAUAGCCCGGGGAAACCCGGAUUAAUACCGGAUGGCCCAUCCGCUCUUCGGAGUGGCUGGGAAAGGUAGCUUCGGCCUCCGGCCGAGGAGGAGCUCGCGGCGGCUUAGCCUGUUGGUGAGGUAACGGCGCACCAAGGCUCCGAUCCGUCGCUGGUCUGAGAGGCCGAUCAGCCACACGGGGACUGAGAGACGGCGCAGACUCCUACGGGAGGCAGCAGGGGGGAGUCUUGCGCAAUGGGCGAAAGCCUGACGCAGCGACGCCGCGUGCGGGAAGAAGGCCUUCGGGUUGUAAACCGCUUUCAGGAGGGACGAAGCCACUCGGGUUAAUAGCCCAGAGGGUGACGGUACCUCCAGAAGAAGCCCCGGCUAACUACGUGCCAGCCGCCGCAGUAACAC